GACGAACGCUGGCGGCAGGCUUAACACAUGCAAGUCGAACGCAUCCUUCGGGGUGAGUGGCAGACGGGUGAGUAACGCGUGGGAACGUGCCCUUCAGUUCGGGAUAACCCAGGGAAACUUGGGCUAAUACCGGAUACGUGCGAGAGCAGAAAGAUUUAUCGCUGAAGGAACGGCCCGCGUCUGAGUAGCUAGUUGGUGGGGUAAUGGCCCACCAAGGCGACGAUCAGUAGCGGGUCUGAGAGGAUGAUCAGCCACAUUGGGACUGAGACACGGCGCAACUUCCUACGGGAGGCAGCAGUGGGGAAUAUUGGACAAUGGGCGCAAGCCUGAUCCAGCCAUGCCGCGUGAGUGAUGAAGGCCUUAGGGUUGUAAAGCUCUUUCGUCCGGGACGAUGAUGACGGUACCGGAAGAAGAAGCCCCGGCUAACUUCGUGCCAGCCGCCGCCGUAACAC
rnacentral:rRNA from 1 species